rnacentral:rRNA from 1 species
GACGAACGCUGGCGGCGUGCUUAACACAUGCAAGUCGAACGGUGAAGCGCCUUCCUUUUUGGUGGGUGUGGAUGAGUGGCGAACGGGUGAGUAACACGUGAGUAACCUGCCCCCUUCUUCUGGAUAACCGCAUGAAAGUGUGGCUAAUACGGGAUAUUCUGGGUCUGUCGCAUGAUGGGUCUGGGAAAGAUAUUGUUUCGGUGGGGGAUGGGCUCGCGGCCUAUCAGCUUGUUGGUGGGGUGAUGGCCUACCAAGGCGGUGACGGGUAGCCGGCCUGAGAGGGUGGACGGUCACACUGGGACUGAGACACGGCCCAGACUCCUACGGGAGGCAGCAGUGGGGAAUAGUGCACAAUGGGCGCAAGCCUGAUGCAGCGACGCCGCGUGAGGGAUGGAGGCCUGCGGGUUGUGAACCUCUUUCGCCAGUGAAGCAGGCCUGCCUCGUUUGUGGGUGGAUUGACGGUAGCUGGAUAAGAAGCGCCGGCUAACUACGUG